rnacentral:rRNA from 1 species
CUGAUCUACCAGUACAAAAGCUGGUAUAUAACCAUAAGACGAGAAGACCCUGCGGAGCUUUAAGUUUCAGUGCUACUCCAACAAAAAUAAACCCUAUUAGGGCCCACAACAACCACAUAGCACUACACUUUAAGUUGGGGCAACUGCGGAGAAAAACAAAACCUCCAUGAAAACAGGCUACAAGCCACCAAAAAACACACCAGUUACCUGGUUAAAAAUUUGACCCAGCAAUGCUGCUCACCGAACCAAGUUACCCCAGGGAUAACAGCGCCAUCCCCCUCAAGAGUUCAUAUCGCCAGGGGGGCUUACGACCUCGAUGUUGGAUCAGGACACCCAGAUGGUGUAGCCGCUAUCAAUGGUUCGUUUGUUCAACGAUUAAUGUCCUACGUGAU